UUCUAUUAAAAUUAUUAAUAGUAUGAUCUGCUCAAUGAAAUAAAUUAAAUAGCCGCAAAACUGUGCUAAGGUAGCAUAAUAAUUUGUCUUUUAAAUGAAGACUAGUACAAAAGAUCAAACAUUUAAGCUAAUAUAUACAUUUAAUUAAUCCAAAUUAUUCUAAAUGUAAAAAAACAUUUAUUCAAAAGAAAGACGACAAGACCCUAUUGAACUUUACUAAAGUUUAACUGGGGCAGUUCAUUAAUUAACAUUUUGAUAAAAAUCAAAAAUAAAAUGAUCCAGCAACGCUGAACACAUGAUCAAGUUACCAUAGGGAUAACAGCGCAAUUAAAAUCCAAAGAUCUUAUAAAAAUAAUAGAUUACGACCUCGAUGUUGAAUAAUUACCUAAUAUGGCGCAAAAGCCAAUAAAGGAAGUCUGUUCGACUUUUAAACAAUUACA
rnacentral:rRNA from 1 species